AUUGAACGCUGGCGGCAGGCCUAACACAUGCAAGUCGAGCGGUAGCACAGGGAGCUUGCUCCUGGGUGACGACCGGCGGACGGGUGAGUAAUGUCUGGGAAACUGCCUGAUGGAGGGGGAUAACUACUGGAAACGGUAGCUAAUACCGCAUAACGUCGCAAGACCAAAGAGGGGGACCUUCGGGCCUCUUGCCAACAGAUGUGCCCAGAUGGGAUUAGCUAGUAGGUGGGGUAACGGCUCACCUAGGCGACGAUCCCUAGCUGGUCUGAGAGGAUGACCAGCCACACUGGAACUGAGACACGGUCCAGACUCCUACGGGAGGCAGCAGUGGGGAAUAUUGCACAAUGGGCGCAAGCCUGAUGCAGCCAUGCCGCGUGUAUGAAGAAGGCCUUCGGGUUGUAAAGUACUUUCAGCGGGGAGGAAGGUGUUGAGGUUAAUAACCUCAGCAAUUGACGUUACCCGCAGAAGAAGCACCGGCUAACUCCGUGCCAGCCGCCGCCGUAA
rnacentral:rRNA from 1 species